rnacentral:rRNA from 1 species
UACGGGGGGGGGCAAGCGUUGUUCGGAAUUACUGGGCGUAAAGGGCUCGUAGGCGGCCAACUAAGUCAGACGUGAAAUCCCUCGGCUUAACCGGGGAACUGCGUCUGAUACUGGAUGGCUUGGAUUCGGGAGAGGAAUGCGGAAUUCCACGUGUAGCAGUGAAAUGCGUAGAGAUGUGGAGGAACACCGAUGGCGAAGGCAGCCUCCUGGGCCAGCACUGACGCUCAUGCACGAAAGCGUGGGGAGCAAACAGG